UACGGGGGGGGGCAAGCGUUGUUCGGAAUUACUGGGCGUAAAGGGCUCGUAGGCGGCCAACUAAGUCGGAUGUGAAAUCCCCAAGCUUAACUUGGGAACUGCAUCCGAUACUGGAUGGCUUGAAUCCGGGAGAGGGAUGCAGAAUUCCAGGUGUAGCGGUGAAAUGCGUAGAUAUCGGAAGGAACAUCAGUGGCGAAAGCGACUUCCUGGACCAGUACCGACGUUCAGGCACGAAAGCGUGGGGAGCAAACAGG
rnacentral:rRNA from 1 species